GAAUUUUUGGCAAUGAGCGAAAGCUUGACCAAGCAACGUCGCGUGGGUGAUGAAGUAUCUUGGUACGUAAAACCCUUUCGGCAGGAACGAACCUAAUGACGGUACCUGCAGAAGCAGCCCCGGCUAACUCCGUGCCAGCAGCCGCGGUAAUACGGGGGGGGCAAGCGUUGUUCGGAAUUACCGGGCGUAAAGGGCGCGUAGGCGGUUGGAGAAGUCAGCUGUGAAAACCAUGGGCUCAACCCAUGGCCUGCAGUUGAAACUGUCCGGCUAGAGUGUGGGAGAGGGAAGUGGAAUUCCUGGUGUAGCGGUGAAAUGCGUAGAUAUCAGGAGGAACACCGGUGGCGAAGGCGGCUUCCUGGACCACAACUGACGCUGAGGCGCGAAAGCUAGGGGAGCAAACAGG
rnacentral:rRNA from 1 species